rnacentral:snRNA from 1 species
GUGCUUGCUUUGGCAGCACAUCUACUUUUAAAAUUGGAAUGAUACAGAGAAGAUUAGCAUGGUCCCUGUGCAAGGAUGACACACGAAACUUGUAAAAGGUCCACAAAAAA